rnacentral:rRNA from 1 species
GACGAACGCUGGCGGCGUGCUUAACACAUGCAAGUCGAGCGAGGGGAGUUCUUCGGAACAAACCUAGCGGCGGACGGGUGAGUAACACGUGGGCAACCUGCCUUAUAGAGGGGGAUAGCCUUCCGAAAGGAAGAUUAAUACCGCAUAAUGUUAUUUUAUCGCAUGAUAAAAUAAUCAAAGGAGCAAUCCGCUAUAAGAUGGGCCCGCGGCGCAUUAGCUAGUUGGUGGGGUAAAGGCCUACCAAGGCGACGAUGCGUAGCCGACCUGAGAGGGUGAUCGGCCACAUGGGGACUGAGACACGGCCCAUACUCCUACGGGAGGCAGCAGUGGGGAAUAUUGCACGAUGGGGGAAACCCUGAUGCAGCAACGCCGCGUGAGUGAUGAAGGCCUUCGGGUUGUAAAGCUCUGUCUUCAGGGACGAUAAUGACGGUACCUGAGGAGGAAGCCACGGCUAACUACGUGCCAGCCGCCGCCGUAACAC